rnacentral:misc_RNA from 1 species
GAUGAAGAACGUAGCGAAAUGCGAUAAGUAGUGUGAAUUGCAGAAUUCAGUGAAUCAUCGAAUCUUUGAACGCACAUUGCGCCCUUUGGUAUUCCUUAGGGCAUGCCUGUUCGAGCGUCAUUUAAACCUUCAAGCUAAGCUUGGUGUUGGGUGACUGUCCGCUUCACGGCGGACUCGCCUCAAAAUUAUUGGCGGCCGGUACAUUGGCUUCGAGCGCAGCAGAAACGCGAACUCGGGCCCGUCGUAUUGGCUCCCAGAAGCUAUCUUAACAAUUUUGACCUCGGAUCAGGUAGGGAUACCCGCUGAACUUAAGCAUAUCAAUAAGCGGAGGA